rnacentral:rRNA from 1 species
AAGGGCACCACAAGAACGCGUGGAGCAUGUGGCUUAAUUUGACUCAACGCGGGAAAUCUUACCGGGUCCGGACACACUGAGGAUUGACAGGUAUUAUUGUAUAUUUACACUAUCCACGUGUGAUAUACAUGUUAAAUAUGCUAGUCCUUUCAUGAUUAUGUGAUAGGUGGUGCAUGGCCGUUCUUAGUUCGUGGAGUGAUCUGUCUGCUUAAUUGCGUUUCACUAAGGGCCUAUAAAUUUACGUAUGUUGCGGCGCUUUGACCCCUCUUUUAUAGAGCGCGUGUCUUUGAUUGCUUAGCUCAUACAAUUAGGUCCUGAAAGCAACGAACGUGACCGCAACCUCUUGUUACCUUUAUACCAAACACGUUGCAGUAAUAAUUUUUAUUAUCUUGCUUUCGUGCAAAAAGGCCUUUUAAACUAGAGGGACCGCUGUUACUUUCUUAAACCAGAGGAAGGUUGCGGCAAUAACAGGUCUGUGAUGCCCUUUGAUGUUCCGGGCUGCACACGUGCUACAAUGAUUAUUGCAGUGAGCAUCUCAUUUUUUACCCACCGCAUGGCGCGAGUCUAUUUAUUCACCAUUUGUGUGCUUUAAAUAUGUAUCUCUGCGCGCGGUAAAGCCUGCUUCGAAAGUAAGUGGGUAAUCAAUUAGAAGUAAUGAUUUCCUUAUAUAGCACACAUAUAUACGGCAUCUUUACCCGGCCUGCCUUGUUCCAGGUUUCUUGUGUGUAUUGAUGUUUUUUCCGUAUGUGCGAUUGUCAAUUCAUGGUGGGGACAGACCAUUGUUAAUUGUUGGUCUCGGUCUUAACUAGGAAUGCCUUGUACGGGUCUUUGGUUCAACAAACCACCCGGAAUACGUCCCUGCCCUUUGUACACACCGCCCGUCGCUCUUACCGAUGGACUUCUCUGUGAGUUUGAGGGACUGGGAACGCAUAUCUCUAUAUGCACACCUAUGGAAACUUAAACGAACAGUGUGGUCUAAAGGAAAGAGAAGUCGUAACAAGGCAUCGGUAGGUGAACCUGCAGAAGGAUCA